UACGAAGGGGGCUAGCGUUGCUCGGAAUCACUGGGCGUAAAGGGCGCGUAGGCGGCCAUUCAAGUCGGGGGUGAAAGCCUGUGGCUCAACCACAGAAUUGCCUUCGAUACUGUUUGGCUUGAGUAUGGCAGAGGUCAGUGGAACUGCGAGUGUAGAGGUGAAAUUCGUAGAUAUUCGCAAGAACACCAGUGGCGAAGGCGGCUGACUGGGCCAUUACUGACGCUGAGGCGCGAAAGCGUGGGGAGCAGACAGG
rnacentral:rRNA from 1 species